rnacentral:rRNA from 1 species
CCUACGGGAGGCAGCAGUGAGGAAUAUUGGUCAAUGGGCGUAAGCCUGAACCAGCCAAGUCGCGUGAGUGAUGAAGGUUCUAUGGAUCGUAAACCUCUUUUAUAAGGGAAUAAGGUGUGGGACGUGUCCUAUUUUGUAUGUACCUUAUGAAUAAGGAUCGGCUAACUCCGGGCCAGCAGCCGCGGUACUACGGAGGAUCCGAGCGUUAUCCGGAUUUAUUGGGUUUAAAGGGUGCGUAGGCGGCCUGUUAAGUCAGCGGUGAAAGUCUGUGGCUCAACCAUAGAAUUGCCGUUGAAACUGGGGGGCUUGAGUAUGGUUGAGGGAGGCAGAAUGCGAGGUGUAGCGGUGAAAUGCGUAGAUAUCGCGCAGAACCCCGAUUGCGAAGGCAGCCUGCCAAGCCAUGACUGACGCUGAUGCACGAAAGCGUGGGGAUCAAACAGGAUUAGAUACCCCGGUAGUC